AUCUCUUAUAAUAUCAGAAAAUAAUAAAAUAAGACACCUAAAAUUAUUAUUAUAGAAAUAAAAACUCACGCUCCAAUAUUUCCUUCAUCACUUUGAGGAAAUCCAAAACCUAAUAGUUCAUCUCCUGGUAAUUUGCUCUUGCUAUUGGUGAUUUACUCUUCCUCAAAAAUAAUGGCUCAACCCUCUCACUUUCCUUCCUAGAAAAACCCUAGAAUCCAAAUUUCACUGUCAAAUUCAUACAAAUUCCAUAUUGAUUCUUAAAUUCCAUUUCAAUUAUAUAAAAAAUGGCAUCGGAUAUUGAGGAGGUGGAAUCAAUAAAUGUUGAAUCAUCAUUGUCUUCGACGACAGUUAACGGUGGCGUCGAGGAGGAGAAUUUAAAGAACUAUGUGUAUACUGCAGUUGGACGCCGUGUGCGAUUUUGAGUGCUUCUUUAGCUAUUUUCUCUUUGUUUUUUGGGCAGAUGAAUGCUUUACCUAUUUCUUCUGAUUUAGGGUAUUUAUUUUUGCAGCUUUCUUGGUUUCGUAGGUAUGUAUAUGAAUUCUUUCUUUCACUACAUGAGCAAGUGUUAAUGUUUUCUCUUCCAUUUAUUCUUCAAAUUCUGAGAUUACCUUCUGAAAAAACAAAAAAAACAAAAUAAAAAUAAAAAUCUAAGAUUAUCCUUCCUUAUGUGGUGACAAAUUCAAGAAUGAGAAGUUUGUGCUAAAACAAUUUACCUUAUAUGGUUUGGGAAAGUUGAGAAUUUGUCGGGUCUAUUUUUUUUUUUUUUUUUGGAAUGAGAUCUUGUUUAUACCCAUCAAUUGAUGAUACUAAUUGUGCAAUUUUACUUAAAAAUCUUAUUUUUGCUGAACUUUGUUGGGUAUAAGAGAUUAUCUUUUGGAUUGUAGUCUAUUCAGGUGUUGGCUUAUAUACUUACAAAAUGUCUCGCAUAAGGUAUCCAUGUAGGUAGCAUCCACCUAUAUCAGUUGACUCAAGUCAAACUAGGGACUGAAAUAUUAUUCUGCAACAGAUGGAUUAUAAAAAAAUGGCUAAAAUAAGAAUGCCACAUUUUCUUCCCAAAAAGUUAAUUAAACACUUUCAGAUAAACAUCUAAAUGAAAUAUAAAUUGCAACAGUAUUUCAAUGAUGUUAGGAGUUUCUCAUGUGGUGUUUAACUUUCUAUAAGAUUGUCAGUGAAAAAAUAUUGGAGCUACACACAUUACCCUUGUGCUUUUGACUUCAUAUAUGUAAUGCCUUAUUUUUAAGCUCAUAUGUUAUCAAGAAUCAUGCCUCUUGCAUUAAGAAAUACCCAAUAAGUAGGUUUCUGAACAUUGAGACCUUUUAAUGUUUAUGUCGUUUUAUGUGUUAGAUACUUGGCGUAGUUUGCUGAACUUUUGACUGAUUUAUUAAAUAGCACAGAGCAUGUAACAGAAAAAUCACAAACAACCCAGUGCUUGUAAUGACAAGAUGAUAGGAUGAAAUUAAUGGCUUCAAUUCGUAAAAGGAUAUUAUAUCUGUGAUCAUCGCCAUCGUUUCUUACUAUGGAUAUAGUUAGAACAACUCACAUAUAUUUUCUUUGACACAAAUUAAACAACAAUUAUAUAGGUUGCCUCUAUUUCAUGUAGCUACCACAAGAUUUAGUUGUAUACUUGUAUUACUCAAGCAUUUAUAGUUUAGAACAUUUAUUUCUUCUUAACUAUUGUAAAUUCUUAAUUCUUUGUUUUUAACUUUUCUGUAUAAAUCCGUUACUAUGAAGUCAUCAACAAACAUUUUUCCUCUUAUUUCUUCCCAAUAAGAUGAAGUUAUCAUAUCCUUAUCAGGAGUAAGUGGAGCAGCUUAAUUUUUUAAAAUUUGCUAAGUCGAUGGAAAAGGUAAUUUAUCCCGUGUUUACUGCACAAAAUUACAAUGUGAAAUACUUUGAAGUUCAAGAGUCAUUUUUUCUGGCUGUAACAUAGAUUUUGCCUAACAUUGUCCAAUUUGAUAGAUUUUCUAUUAUGAUCCUGAGAUGGAUAGUGAACCAAUGUACUUUCAUGAUGCCUUUCUUUGUAGUCAAGCUUUGGAGGGCAUAUUGAUAUGUAUGGUCUGUAAAUACAUGUUAAUGGUAAUUCUCAGCUUUUAUUGGAUGCAAUUUUAAUGAAAUUUUACUUUACCUAAUCUAAAACAAUAAUAAUGGUAAAGUGUUUUAACUCCUGCUUCUUAUUGUUUAUAUGCAUUAUGUAAUCCUUUGAGAUAAUGUCUUUGACAUUGUGUUAGAAUGACGAGUUGAUGAUUCAUAUUGCGGAAAAUGAUAUUGAAAAUUUGGUCGAUAGUCUCCGAAGCUCGUUUUAUUUUAGCAAAUUUACUAUUUGAUUUAAGUGACAGUUUCAUUAACUUUCUUUGGUUAUACUGACCAUUGUAUCUCUUCUCAACAACUAUGAUAAAAAUUAUUAAAGAAAUGUUGCCCCCACAUGUUCGUGUUGCCCGAGAUGCUCAGAAUCUAUUGAUUAAAUAUUGUGUAGGUGAGUUGAUUUUAAUUUGGCCAAUUUAAUUUUUUAGUUCAGCUAAGUUAUCAUGACGAUUAUGACUAUUCUGUUUAGUAUUGUUUGUUGGUGCUGAGCUGUUGGUUCCAUAGAUGUUCUCACUAGUGUGUGUCUUUGUUAUUUGAACAUGGUUAAUCUAUCUUCCCGUUGCUGUUCUCCCACUAUGGGUUACUAAAUAUCACUUUUCUAAUUAUACUAAGUGCAUACAAAAAUUAUAGCUUGUAAAGCUUACUCAAAGCUUUACAAGUGCUUGACCUGACCCUCUAAUUCUGCUUCUAUGUGUAUCUGAUUGAAGUUAGUUCUGUUUUCCAAUUCUCUGCUGGCACUUUUUACUGUAAGUUUUAUCAGUUUACUCCAAGAUGAGAAAGGUCAGUUCGAACCUGGUGUUUGUCUAAGCUAAAGUUAGGCCAAUAAGGACAAUGAACUACUUGCUUCUCUACGUUGGGGAUAAAUGUGGAUUUUUUUAUUCAUUUAAUUUAUGGAUGCGAGUGUGUGAUUUUGAUAUUUCUUUAGCUAAUUAUUUCUUUUCAUUUAUCGACGAAUGAACGCCUUGACCCGUUUCUUCUGAUUUAGGGUGUUUAUUAUCACAAAUUCUCUUGGUUUGCCAAGUGUGUGUAUGAAAUCUCUAUCGUCUGUGAUCUAGGUAAUUCAUUUAUAUUGCUUUUUUUGUAACUUCGUUGUUAAUUGGGUUACAACUAUAAGUGCUGCGAAAUGUUUAACAUUUGGAUUCCAUGACCUAUUAUGAGGUACUGUAACACUAAAAACCGAAAAAUUUAAUCUUUUUCAAGAAUUACUAUGUCCAUGAGUAAGGUAAUUUCGCUUGUGUUUAUUGUAUAAAAUUGCAGUUUGAGAUACUUUGAGUUUGAGGUAGGGGUGGGCAUAAAAACUGAAAAUCGAACUUUAAAAAUAACUAGUUUUCACUUUUUCUAAACUGGAUCGAUGCAUAUUGUUUACUUCAAGAAACAGCUUCAAAGGAUUAAUGUUGAAUCAAUGAUUAAUCAUUAAGUGGUAUCCUUAUUCGUCACAGGUAGUGCUAAAUACCUAUACAUAUCUCAGAAGUCAGAACCAUCAUCAAAGGAUUAAUCAUUAAGCGGUAUCCUUUUUCUUUUUCCGUUGAAGCUGGUUGUUCCCCGUUGAAACUGGUGGUAUACUAUGUCCUUUCAUGGUGCUAAACUAUUACUUUUCUUUUUAAUUUUUCCCUUAUGACAUGAAUUAAGAUAAACACAGGGUAAGCAGUCAUAUGCUUUCAUCUGAUAUUUCUUUUUAAGGUUUGAUUUUAGAUUUCUCCUUAAGCUAAUGUAAGUACUAUUUGGCUUAUGUCAGCUAAAUGAAUUGUAUAAUACAUGAGUUUGAACACAAAAAUAAUAUUACAUUUAAAGCUUGAAGUUUGGUGCAGAAUUGAAAAUUAUUUAAAGUUGUUCAGAAUGUUCUUUUAAUGCCAACAAAAUUCUUCCAAUGCUGAAGAACAUUUUGUCUUGCUAAAGAAUUUUGUUUUAAGGUUAUUACUGGUGUCUAAAUGUAUGAGCUGGUUACAUUUGAAGGUAAUGAUUUAUUUUUUUGGUUCUAUUGUGGUCAUGAGAACAAAGGGCUUAUUUGUCUAAUGCUUGAGCUGGUUACAUUUGCAGGAGAACGACCAAUACAGUGAAGAACAUACUAAGGUAGUACCAACGUGUUCGUAUUUUCGGUUUAGUGUCACGACCCGGCUAGGGGCCGCGAUGGGUACCCGGCUUUUGUGAAUUUGUCAAUAUAGCUCCUUCUAUAUUGAUGUUUUGACUUUGAAGGGCAUUAGUUACACUCGAUAGAAUGUGUUAGGUAUUGAAGUGUUUGGUUAAUAAGUGAAGUUGCAGGAAAAUAAGACUUUGAUACAAGUUAACAAGAUUCUUGUCAUUUUCUUUUAGUGUUGUUAGGUGAAUAAUUAUAACUCUUUUGUAACAGAUGUUAGAUUUCUUGAAGGAUUGUGUGAACAGUACAAUGACUUAUAUUAUUGUUAUAUAAUUUUGCUAAUGGGGUUUAUUUCUAAACCUUGUUAUGUGAAUUUCAUUUUCUAUGCUAUAAA